rnacentral:rRNA from 1 species
ACUCGAGUGGCGAACGGGUGAGUAACACGUGGGUGAUCUGCCCUGCACUUCGGGAUAAGCUUGGGAAACUGGGUCUAAUACCGGAUAGGACCGCACUUUAGUGUGUGUGGUGGAAAGUUUUUUCGGUGUAGGAUGAGCUCGCGGCCUAUCAGCUUGUUGGUGGGGUAAUGGCCUACCAAGGCGGCGACGGGUAGCCGGCCUGAGAGGGUGUACGGCCACAUUGGGACUGAGAUACGGCCCAGACUCCUACGGGAGGCAGCAGUGGGGAAUAUUGCACAAUGGGCGCAAGCCUGAUGCAGCGACGCCGCGUGGGGGAUGAAGGCCUUCGGGUUGUAAACUCCUUUCGCUAGGGACGAAGCUUUUUGUGACGGUACCUAGAUAAGAAGCACCGGCUAACUACGUGCCAGCAGCCGCGGUAAUACGUAGGGUGCGAGCGUUGUCCGGAAUUACUGGGCGUAAAGGGCUCGUAGGUGGUUUGUCGCGUCGUCUGUGAAAUUCUGGGGCUUAACUCCGGGCGUGCAGGCGAUACGGGCAUAACCUGAGUGCUGUAGGGGUAACUGGAAUUCCUGGUGUGGCGGUGAAAUGCGCAGAUAUCAGGAGGAACACCGAUGGCGAAGGCAGGUUACUGGGCAG